CAGCAGCCGCGGGAAUACAGAGGGUGCAAGCGUUAAUCGGAUUUACUGGGCGUAAAGGGCGCGUAGGUGGUUAUGUAAGUGAGAUGUGAAAUCCCCGGGCUCAACCUGGGAACUGCAUCUUAUACUGCGUAGCUGGAGUGCAGUAGAGGGUAGUGGAAUUCCCGGUGUAGCGGCGAAAUGCGUAGAUAUCGGAAGGAACACCAGUGGCGAAGGCGGCUACCUGGACUGACACUGACACUGAGGCGCGAAAGCGUGGGGAGCAAACAGGAUUAGAUACCCCAGUAGUCCCUGUCUCUUAUAC
rnacentral:rRNA from 1 species